GGAUUGUAGCUUAGUGGUACAGUGCCUGCCUAGCAUGUGUGAAGCACUGGGUUCGAUCCUCAGCACCA
rnacentral:tRNA from 1 species